CCAAUCAUAAGUAUUAUAACUGUUUGUUACCAAUCAUAAGAAUCAUAACUGUUUCUCAUCCCUGUUUUUAAUCGUCGUUUCUUUAGCCAUCUACUCUAUAACUGAUAAAAGAAGAUUUAACCACCUCGUUUGAAUGAUGUUACCAAUCAAAGCCAUAAUGGUUAUAAAAAAAAUGGUUAACGAUAGCUGAUGGAAAUGGUGGUACGUUAAAGGAGAGUGGUUGAGUAUUUAGCUUGAUUGGUAGUGUAUCGCC
rnacentral:lncRNA from 1 species